UACGUAGGUGGCAAGCGUUGUCCGGAAUUAUUGGGCGUAAAGCGCGCGCAGGUGGUUUCUUAAGUCUGAUGUGAAAGCCCACGGCUCAACCGUGGAGGGUCAUUGGAAACUGGGGAACUUGAGUGCAGGAGAGAAGAGUGGAAUUCCACGUGUAGCGGUGAAAUGCGUAGAGAUGUGGAGGAACCCCAGUGGCGAAGGCGACUCUUUGGCCUGUAACUGACACUGAGGCGCGAAAGCGUGGGGAGCAAACAGG
rnacentral:rRNA from 1 species